AACGAACGCUGGCGGCAUGCCUAACACAUGCAAGUCGAACGAGACCUCCGGGUCUAGUGGCGCACGGGGGCGUAACGCGUGGGAACCUGCCCUUAGGUUCGGAAUAACUCCCCGAAAGGGGUGCUAAUACCGGAUAAUGUCUUCGGACCAAGGAUUUAUCGCCUUUGGGUGGGCCCGCGUUGGUUUAGCUAGUUGGUAGCGUAAAAGCCUACCACGGCGACGAUCGAUAGCUGGUCUGAGAGGAUGAUCCGCCACACUGGGACUGAGACACGGCCCAGACUCUUACGGGAGGCAGCAGUGGCUAAUAUUGGACAAUGGGCGAAAGCCUGAUCCAGCAAUGCCGCGUGAGUGAUGAAGUCCUUAGAGUUGUAAAGCUCUUUUACCCGGGAUGAUAAUGACAGUACCGGGAGAAUAAGCUCCGGCUAACUCCGUG
rnacentral:rRNA from 1 species